GUUGACAUUACUUUUAUUUGUUACCAGAACGUUGGUUUGUAUGAAUAAUAAUGUUAGUUUCUGUCACGUCAGAAGUCGCGUGGAUAGAAAUUCACGUAGCGCGCAUCAAAGGACACAAAAUUCGACAC